UACGUAGGGGGCAAGCGUUGUCCGGAUUUAUUGGGCGUAAAGGGCGUGUAGGCGGCUUGUUAAGUCUGGAGUGAAAAUCCGGGGCUCAACCCCGGAACUGCUUCGGAUACUGGCGAGCUUGAGUGCUCUAGAGGGCAGUGGAAUUCCCGGUGUAGCAGUGAAAUGCGUAGAGAUCGGGAGGAACACCAAUGGCGAAGGCAGCACUCUGGGACGUGACUGACGCUGAGACGCGAAAGCGUGGGGAGCAAACAGG
rnacentral:rRNA from 1 species